CGGGGUGUGGCGCAGUUUGGUAGCGCGCUGGGUUCGGGACUCAGAGGUCGAGAGUUCAAGUCUCUCCACCCCGA
rnacentral:tRNA from 1 species